rnacentral:rRNA from 1 species
GAUGAACGCUAGCUACAGGCUUAACACAUGCAAGUCGAGGGGUAACGAGAGGAAAGCUUGCUUUCCUUGUCGACGACCGGCGCACGGGUGAGUAACGCGUAUCCAACCUGCCCCCAACUAGGGAAUAACCUUGCGAAAGUAAGACUAAUACCCUAUAAUUUCCUCAGAUGCCAUCUGACGAGGAAUAAAGAUUUAUCGGUUGUGGAUGGGGAUGCGUCUGAUUAGCUUGUUGGCGGGGUAACGGCCCACCAAGGCAACGAUCAGUAGGGGUUCUGAGAGGAAGGUCCCCCACAUUGGAACUGAGACACGGUCCAAACUCCUACGGGAGGCAGCAGUGAGGAAUAUUGGUCAAUGGGCGGAAGCCUGAACCAGCCAAGUAGCGUGCAGGAUGACGGCCCUAUGGGUUGUAAACUGCUUUUAUACAGGAAUAAAGUUAGCCACGUGUGGUUAUUUGUAGGUACUGUAUGAAUAAGGACCGGCUAAUUCCGUGCCAGCCGCCGCAGUAA